GAUGAACGCUGGCGGCGUGCUUAACACAUGCAAGUCGAACGGGGCACCCCUGAAGGAGUUUUCGGACAACGGAUGGGAAUGCUUAGUGGCGAACUGGUGAGUAACGCGUGAGGAACCUGCCUUUCGGAGGGGGACAACAGUUGGAAACGACUGCUAAUACCGCAUGAUACAUCGAAGCCGCAUGGUUUUGAUGUCAAAGAUUUAUCGCCGAAAGAUGGCCUCGCGUCUGAUUAGCUUGUUGGUGAGGUAACGGCUCACCAAGGCGACGAUCAGUAGCCGGACUGAGAGGUUGGCCGGCCACAUUGGGACUGAGAUACGGCCCAG
rnacentral:rRNA from 1 species